UUGAAUGAUGAAAUAAGCACUGGGCUCUGAGCAGUUUGAUUAAUAACCUGCUUUAUUGAUGCACAUUGCUAGCCUAGAAAGCUAUGUCUGACUA
rfam:Lupinus angustifolius cultivar Tanjil chromosome LG16, whole genome shotgun sequence.